rnacentral:tmRNA from 1 species
GGGGGCGUACUGGUUUCGACGGGGAUGAUAGAGGUGCGAGAAGCGAGUCGCGGACUCCGGGGCCGCGUAAAAACCUGGAAACUAAACACAAACGCUAACGAUAAUAAUUUAGCAUUCGCAGCUUAAUGCUGUGACGUCCGCCCUGUAGCACCCGCACUAUAGGAAUCGGGCGCCAAUUUAGCGGGGAACCAGCCUGCCUAAGCUUUGCAGCAGGUGGGAUUUAUGAAGCUACUGAAGUCCGGAUCCUGUCAGCAGGAGCCGGAUGGAGGGAAUGCCAAAAUGCUGACUGCACUCGGAGAAGCUCUCAUCGAUAUAUCUUCGGACAGGGGUUCGACUCCCCUCGCCUCCACCA